rnacentral:rRNA from 1 species
GUGGGGAAUCUUGCGCAAUGGGCGAAAGCCUGACGCAGCCAUGCCGCGUGAAUGAUGAAGGUCUUAGGAUUGUAAAAUUCUUUCACCGGGGACGAUAAUGACGGUACCCGGAGAAGAAGCUCCGGCUAACUUCGUGCCAGCAGCCGCGGUAAUACGAAGGGGGCUAGCGUUGCUCGGAAUUACUGGGCGUAAAGGGCGCGUAGGCGGACAGCUUAGUCAGAGGUGAAAGCCCAGGGCUCAACCUUGGAAUUGCCUUUGAUACUGGCUGUCUUGAGUUUGGGAGAUGUGAGUGGAACUCCGAGUGUAGAGGUGAAAUUCGUAGAUAUUCGGAAGAACACCAGUGGCGAAGGCGACAUACUGGCUCAUUACUGACGCUGAGGCGCGAAAGCGUGGGGAGCAAACAGGAUUAGAAACCCGAGUAGUCC